rnacentral:lncRNA from 9 species
CAUCUGGCUCCUCAGAUUCUAGGGCAAACCUCAUUAGUGUGAGGGGCACCCCAUGGCUCAGCCCCUACCCCCGGGACCUCGGAUUCCCAUCUGGCAACCUAACGGAACAAGCCUGCCAUGGCUUUGCAUUUUCUCACUCUUUUUCUGGAGACAAGUGCAGGUCUCUUCAAGAAGAUAGAACUCAAAGACGCUGGCCAAGACAAGACAAUUACCAGACCUUUAGCAUUGUCCCACCCAUCUUAUUGUAAUAUCCCUUCCCCUUAAAAUAUCUGGCCCAUUCCUUCCUUCUCCCUAUUAGGAAAGGUAUAUGGCCCAGCCCUCACCUUACCCCUUAUAAAUCCCUAACCAACCAGCAAGUGUAUCAUAAGACCCCUCUUUGGAGUUCCUGUUGUGGUGCAGUGGUUAACGAAUCCAACUAGGAACCAUGAGGUUGCGGGUUCGAUCCCUGCCCUUGCUCAGUGGGUUGAGGACCCAGAGUUGCCGUGAGCUUUGGUGUAGGUUGCAGACGAGGCUCGGAUCCUGAAUUGCUGUGGCUGUGGUGCAGGCCGGCAGCUAUAGCUCCAAUUAGACUCCUAGCCUGGGAAUCUCCAUAUGCUGUGAGAGCGGCCCUAGAAAUGGCAAAAAAAAAAAAGCAAAAAAACCCCAUCUUUAUCCAACCAAUCAGCAGAUCAGCAGGUGUAUUGCAAGACCUCUCCUCUCUCUCUGGACUAUAAAAACAGACACAAGCAUGUGAUCAGAGUCAGCUCUCCCUGAUUAUCAGGAAGUCAUCCUGCUGUGCUAGCAGUGUCUCUUAUCUCAAUAAACUUAUCUUUCUUUUCACCCCACUAUGAAUCUGGAAAAUUCUUCUUCCAACCCAUGCCCAACCACAACAACAAGGACAUUAAAACAAUGAUUAUAAUGUUUACUUUCAAAAACUUAGGUAGAGACAUAUAAAUAUAAAAUCAAUCAGAUUGAACUUCUAGAAAUAAUGACUAAGAUGAAAAAUACAAGGAAAUGAUUUUAUGUCUGAUUAAUUAUUUCAGGGUAGAGAACUUGAAAAUGUAUCAACAGAACGCAUUCACAAAGUAAUACAGUGAAAAUACAAAAUAGAGAGGAAAGAAAAUC